rnacentral:lncRNA from 1 species
CAGAAUACUUACCAGAGAUUCUAUUUUAGGUUUGACCUAGUUUUGUUAGCAGCCUGAUCCAUCAGGAGUAUUCAUGGUAAUUGGCUGGGUACCUAUGAAAAUCAACAAGGGUUUUCUUCAGAUAUCCUCAAAGAUCUACAGAUAAAGUGUUUACUGAGCAUGAUGGAGCCAAAAAUCCCUCACCAGAGACAUCAGGACCACAUACUCGAGUA